rnacentral:rRNA from 1 species
UACGUAGGGGGCGAGCGUUGUCCGGAUUCAUUGGGCGUAAAGAGCUCGUAGGCGGCUUGGUUAGUUGGGUGUGAAACCUCCAGGCUUAACCUGGAGACGCCACUCAAUACUGCCAUGGCUAGAGUCCGGUAGGGGACCACGGAAUUCCUGGUGUAGCGGUGAAAUGCGCAGAUAUCAGGAGGAACACCGGUGGCGAAGGCGGGUCUCUGGGCCGAAACUGACGCUGAGGAGCGAAAGCGUGGGGAGCGAACAGG